rnacentral:rRNA from 1 species
CCGAGACUCAGUGAAAUUGAUCUCGCUGUGAAGAUGCAGUGUACCCGCGGCAAGACGGAAAGACCCCGUGAACCUUUACUAUAGCUUGACACUGAACAUUGAGCCUUGAUGUGUAGGAUAGGUGGGAGGCAACGAAGCGUGGACGCCAGUCUGCGCGGAGCCAUCCUUGAAAUACCACCCUUUAACGUUUGAUGUUCUAACCCGGGUCCAUAAUCUGGAUCGGGGACCGUGUCUGGUGGGUAGUUUGACUGGGGCGGU